rnacentral:rRNA from 1 species
CGGGAAACCGGAGCUAAUACGGAUAAUAUAUUGAACCGCAUGGUUCAAUAGUGAAAGACGGUUUUGCUGUCACUUAUAGAUGGAUCCGCGCCGCAUUAGCUAGUUGGUAAGGUAACGGCUUACCAAGGCAACGAUGCGUAGCCGACCUGAGAGGGUGAUCGGCCACACUGGAACUGAGACACGGUCCAGACUCCUACGGGAGGCAGCAGAG